ACGUGGCUGGGCAACUUUGCUGUGCCUGCCUCGCUCUGGAUGAUGGUGAUGAAGAUGAUCACUAUGGUUAUUACAAAAUAUUGAGUAGAGUUCCCUGUGCUAUACGCCCUCUUCAUUAGAAUCCAUCUUGGCUAAGAGAUGCGCGCACACACGGGAGGAUCCUGAGAUGUACCAAACACGGACUCAGAACCAGGCGAAGCAAGAUGAUUGGCCAAAGGAAACCCGGAAGAAACGC